AGUGAACGCUGGCGGUAGGCCUAACACAUGCAAGUCGAACGGCAGCACAGUAAGAGCUUGCUCUUACGGGUGGCGAGUGGCGGACGGGUGAGGAAUACAUCGGAAUCUACUUUUUCGUGGGGGAUAACGUAGGGAAACUUACGCUAAUACCGCAUACGCCCUACGGGUGAAAGCAGGGGAUCUUCGGACCUUGCGCGAUUGAAUGAGCCGAUGUCGGAUUAGCUAGUUGGCGGGGUAACUGCCCACCAAGGCGACGAUCCGUAGCUGGUCUGAGAGGAUGAUCAGCCACACUGGAACUGAGACACGCUCCAGACUCCUACGGGAGGCAGCAGUGGGGAAUAUUGGACAAUGGGCGCAAGCCUGAUCCAGCCAUACCGCGUGGGUGAAGAAGGCCUUCGGGUUGUAAAGCCCUUUUGUUGGGAAAGAAAAGCAUCAGGUUAAUACCCCGCUGUUCUGACGGUACCCAAAGAAUAAGCACCGGCUAACUUCGUG
rnacentral:rRNA from 1 species